CCCUGAAAGAGCGGCAAGGAAUAGAAUUCCGGAAUAGCAAGUGUCAAUCGGUAGAGCAUUGAAAAAAAGAAGAAGAAAAAACUUUUGUUCUAUAGAAGAACAGAUGGCUCAAAAUAGAUAAACUAUAAAUCUAGGGCUACGGUGAGAUUGGUACGGUUUGAUCUGUGAUUAAACCCAUUAUCACGGAUUAAUUUUUAAGUUCAGUUGAAUUUUGGAUUCAGAGAUUUAUUCAGAUACGUAUGCGGAUUUGUGUACGAAAUACUGAGAACCGCAUGUAAACAACGCUCCUUAAGUUGAUGAAAAAAUAGCUUAUUGAUACAACCAGGGUCAUGGUGGAAUUCGAACCUGCUAUAUCCAGGUUUUACAGCAUUUUGUGGUAGGGAAAUAUCCCCGAUUAAGGAGGACUCUUUCUUUUUCAGAUCUAAGCAAGGAUCUCAGUUCCUUUUAUGAAUAUCAUGAUUUGUUCAUUCUGUAACGUACAACUUGCGCUGUUUCUUUUCCAACAUUCACCUGAAACUGUGUGAAAUGAAUUGUUUAUGAACAUGGGGAAGGUACUUUAUUUACGUCAUCUCUAGAACUGCUGUAACGACUCUAAUGGGCUAUUGGCGACGGUCUCAGCAGCAUCUUUAAUCAUGAUUCGAAGACAGGCCAUCACAAUUUUGCUUAUGUGCAGUGAAGAUCUCAUUAGUAAGGUGAAUUUUUCAAUUUAUAUAUAGAUCUGAAGGGGAAGGCAAUUUUCUCCAGAUCCCUGUUCCCAACGCACUGCUCAGCGACCGACCACAGGACUUUCGAUUCAACAGAUUUUAUGAGUACGUACAUCACAAUACUCGAUCAGUCUUAGCGGAGACGAGGAUUAAACCCCGGCCCCUCCGGACCAGAGUUCAAUUCUCUAACCACAAGGCUACCAAGUUCAAUGUAUGUGGUAUUCCAAAAUUCAGCCGACAAAUUCAAUGGGAUGAUAAAAGAUAUUUGGAAGAUGAAGACUUGCCAUUGGAUAUGGAGUUGUAAGUCACAUUGACCGAGUGAAAAUCACGAAAAUCCUAAGCAAGUUGUGAUGUCAUGCUCAAAAACAUUCACACAAAAAAAUUAUUAUUAAUUUAUGACAAGAAAUGUUUGAAAUGGAACUCAAUGAUGCCAUUGCAUGGGCAACAAUGACAUAAAAAGGUUUUCCGUGAGUACCCGAGGAAGCCAGGUGUGUUUUCACACUCCGCUUUUCGUUUUCUCUAGAUUUAGAGCUUGCAAGCGUUUUCCGAAAUUUUCAUCUCUCAACGUGGUUUGAGACAGCAUGUUCUAUGUUAAAUUUUCAUGCUCUUGAUUCCUCCCACUCACAAUAUUUUAUAAUUCAAUUAAUACAAAAACCAAACUCAAUUCACCACAAAUGGAGAAAUGUUUAACUUCGUUACAUCUGAAUAAAGCUAAAGCAACUUGGAAAAUACAAAUAAUGUGACUUAGACUGACAAUCGAUAAUUUCGGAACUAUAACCGAGCACCUUCUUCAGGGUCAAAAGAUAGAAAAUAAAUCGUUUUUUCGACGCUGAAGAUGAAGUUUCAUUACAAUACAGAAGCAAUUAUAUAAGUUAACCCUUUGUAAGGUUGCGGUAGCCUAAUAUAAAGUUUCUUUUGUGUCCUUUACUGUUUUCAUUUACCUGAAUCGUUUUUCUCGAGUUCAGCAUGAUCUAAAUAGAGGAAGUACCGUUACACUUAGUUUAUGAUCUGCAGCACCAUAUGUUGGAAAAUAUUUGAACUAAAUCGAGGAACCCUAACAAGAAAAAAAAAGGAUGCCCAGUAACAUGAAUUCGAUGCAAGAUUUUUUUCCUUUUCUUGUGCUGUACAUUUCUGAAUCUGCAAUAUUAUCAUUAUCACUAAAAUAUUAAAAGUAUCUUUAAAAGAUUUUGUAUAAAAGAGAAACUUAUACAUUUUUAGUAUAAUUCUUCAAAGUCAACCUCUAUGUUACAAGGAAAUAUAUUUAAUACCAAUUUAAAAUUUGUGCAAAGCACUAUAUUUUAGAAAUAACAAACGAAGCAGAAAAGACACUUUUAUCAUCCUUACAAAGUUUUUUUAAUUAGGAAAAUAUAUCAAAGAAAAGAAGUAUCACCUUUGUUUGAAAAACAAUAAUGAAACGCUUUGAUUUUUCUCCUCAAUCUAAGAAAAUAUUUUUAAAAGAAACAAAUUCUGAUGAGAAACUUUUUGAAUGGAUUGGGAUAAAUCUGAUAAAUUAUGAAGAAAUUGAAAUAGGUAGUUUUAAAACAACAUACGGGCUUUUGAAUGUUAGUCUAAGGAUUUUGAAGUUACCGAUUCAAUCACCUAUUCAACUAUUUCAACAGAAUUCAGUAUUGAAUAGAAAAUUUCUCAUUAAAUCUUAUACUUUAAUUUAAAUUUCUUUGUAAUGAAAACGAAGUCCUUACGGUUACAAUGUGAUGCACUUUUCUAUAAUUUUGAAAUUCUUUUA
rnacentral:lncRNA from 1 species